rnacentral:rRNA from 1 species
CACGUAGGGCGCAAGCGUUGUCCGGAAUUAUUGGGCGUAAAGAGCUCGUAGGCGGUCUGUUGCGUCCGCUGUGAAAACUCGGGGCUUAACCCCGAGCCUGCAGGUGGAUACGGGCAGACUAGAGGUAGGUAGGGGGAGAAUGGAAUUCCGGUGUAGCGGUGAAAUGCGCAGAUAUCGGAGGAACACCGGUGGCGAAGGCG